rnacentral:tRNA from 2 species
UGUAAGAAAGACUAAGGGAUAGUC